UACGUAGGUGGCAAGCGUUGUCCGGAAUCAUUGGGCGUAAAGAGCUCGUAGGCGGUUUGUCGCGUCUGCCGUGAAAGUCCGGGGCUCAACUCCGGAUCUGCGGUGGGUACGGGCAGACUAGAGUGAUGUAGGGGAGACUGGAAUUCCUGGUGUAGCGGUGAAAUGCGCAGAUAUCAGGAGGAACACCGAUGGCGAAGGCAGGUCUCUGGGCAUUAACUGACGCUGAGGAGCGAAAGCAUGGGGAGCGAACAGG
rnacentral:rRNA from 1 species